rnacentral:rRNA from 1 species
CGGAGGGGCGUAGCGUUGUUCGGAAUUACUGGGCGUAAAGCGCACGUAGGCGGACCAGAAAGUUAGGGGUGGAAAGUACCCGGGGCGUCAACCUCGGAACUGCCCUCAAAACUAUUGGUCUGGAGUUCGAGAGAGGUGAGUGGAAUUCCGAGUGUAGAGGUGAAAUUCGUAGAUAUUCGGAGGAACACCAGUGGCGAAGGCGGCUCACUGGCUCGAUACUGACGCUGAGGUGCGAAAGCGUGGGGAGCAAACAGGAUU